rnacentral:rRNA from 1 species
UGAGUAACGCGUGAGGAACCUGCCUUCCAGAGGGGGACAACAGUUGGAAACGACUGCUAAUACCGCAUGACACAUGACCGUGGCAUCACGGACAUGUCAAAGAUUUAUCGCUGGAAGAUGGCCUCGCGUCUGAUUAGCUGGUAGGCGGGGUAACGGCCCACCUAGGCGACGAUCAGUAGCCGGACUGAGAGGUUGACCGGCCACAUUGGGACUGAGAUACGGCCCAGACUCCUACGGGAGGCAGCAG